rnacentral:rRNA from 1 species
UUCUGGUUGAUCCCGCCGGACCUGACUGCUAUCGGAUUGAUACUAAGCCAUGCGAGUCUUUGUAGUAAUACAAGGCAGACGGCUCAGUAACACGUAGUCAACCUACCCUAUGGACGAGAAUAAUCUCGGGAAACUGAGCAUAAUUCUUGAUAGAUCAUAAUGCCUGGAAUGGUUUACGGUUAAAAUGAUUCGCCGCCAUAGGAUGGGACUGCGGCCUAUCAGCUUGUUGGUGAGGUAAUGGCCCACCAAGGCGAUUACAGGUACGGGCUCUGAGAGGAGAAGCCCGGAGAUGGGUACUGAGACACGGACCCAGGCCCUAUGGGGCGCAGCAGGCGAGAAAACUUUGCAAUGUGCGAAAGCACGACAAGGUUAAUCCGAGUGAUUUCUGCUAAAGAAAUCUUUUGCCAGUCGUAAAACCGCUGGUGAAUAAGGGGUGGGCAAGUUCUGGUGCCAGCAGCCGCGGUAAU